rnacentral:rRNA from 1 species
UGGGGAAUAUUGGACAAUGGGCGAAAGCCUGAUCCAGCCAUGCCGCGUGUGUGAAGAAGGUCUUCGGAUUGUAAAGCACUUUAAGUUGGGAGGAAGGGCAUUAACCUAAUACGUUAGUGUUUUGGCGUUACCGACAGAAUAAGCACCGGCUAACUCUGUGCCAGCAGCCGCGGUAAUACAGAGGGUGCAAGCGUUAAUCGGAAUUACUGGGCGUAAAGCGCGCGUAGGUGGUUUGUUAAGUUGGAUGUGAAAGCCCCGGGCUCAACCUGGGAACUGCAUUCAAAACUGACUGACUAGAGUAUGGUAGAGGGUGGUGGAAUUUCCUGUGUAGCGGUGAAAUGCGUAGAUAUAGGAAGGAACACCAGUGGCGAAGGCGACCACCUGGACUAAUACUGACACUGAGGUGCGAAAGCGUGGGGAGCAAACA